CAAUGUUAAAUUGAAAUUCCUAAAAUAUAGAACGGGUGGAUAUCAUUACCCGAUUUGGGAAUACCGUAGGCAAUUGGCAUAGUCAUUGCUAAGAGACUUAACCUAGCUUUUGAAACAUGAAGAUCUGGUUGAGAAUACUAAUAUUCAAUUUUACAAAUAUGUAAAUAACUUUUAAACUGCGCCGUAUUGGCAAGGUACAGGAUUAAAUCGAUCCGCAUUAAGGAGUUCUUACAGACUGCAAGCUCUAUGCAAAACCUGCUGGACACUUAUUUUAAAAGAUACAGAAAGUGAAAGGGCAACAAUGAUAAAGUGAGAGCGUUGGUGACCGUUUUUGAGACAAAGUAUAUUUCAUACAACUGCUGCUGAAUGCUCGAUGACUUCGCCAGAUGUCAAGCGCAACGAUCCUCGUAAACAACUCCACCUUGAACUUUAAAUGAUAAGUGCAGCAUAGUAUUGAACAUCGCUAGACAUCCCGCCUUUAGAUGUUAAGUCAUGAUGCCAAUAAUUUGUGACCACGGGAGUAUGGUCUUUAUACUUCGUGCUUGGGUUACGGCGCCCCUAAUAUUGUUAUUCCGACAUUAAGACGAGAUGCAAAUUCAACUGAGGCAGUAACUGACGAUACGGCUUCGUGGAUAAGUAAGUGAUUAAUCCUGCCAAGUUACCUCAGAUGUGAUUGAACGUCUAUUAAGACUGCUAUGAGCACGUAAUAAGACUGGCUGUAUGGAUGUUUUUUAUUCGUUUUACCAAUUACCAUUAUACGAACAGUAAUAAAAAGUAUUUCUUCAACCUUU